GAGAUGUGCAAAGUUCUGGGUGGAGGGCUAAGAGCUGAAGAGAUCAAAGAACUUUGGCAAGAGUAUGAAAACAAUGCUUCGUUAGAGGCAAAUCUUGUGAAAGAUUUUGACAAGGUUGAGAUGAUUCUCCAAGCAUUAGAAUAUGAAAUGGAACACGGGAAAGUGCUCGACGAGUUUUUCAUAUCAACAGCAGGAAAGUUUCAGACAGGAAUCGGAAAGAGCUGGGCUGCAGAGAUCCUCUCCAGAAGAAAUCAGCUAUUGGAAGACAAACGAAAAUAGCCACUCGAAAUCGUCUCCCUCUCCUUAUGCAGCUUGCCACCUGGGGGGCUAAAGCAGAAACUAAAACACUCAAAAAAGUUUGGAACACUUGCUCUGUCUAUGAUGCAUGAAAAGUCAGCAAGAACAACUGUUCUUUAAUAAAAGAACAAAGCUCUAAAAUGUGACCACAAACGGUGCCAAGUGACAAGUGUUGAACCCUUCUUCUUCUUUAAUGAUUGCGGAGAAGGACGCAUGCCCUUCCAUGCACGUGCAUAUAUACAUAUACAUGCAUCGCCUCUGCGUCCGGCAAGUGAAAAUGCAAAAUAAAAUCAAAAUGUAAAAAAAAAAAGAGAAUAAAAGGUUUCACGGAUCCUUACGUUAGAAAACGUUUAUGGUUUUUGUCUGAUAUGGACAUUGGACGUUGCAUUGGUCCCUCUCAUCUACAAUACUCCCUUAUCUUAGUGCUUGUUUCUCUCUCAUAUCUUUUUAUUUUUUGGAAGUAUAUGAAUAUGAUCUUAUUAUUGUUAAUACAUCUCUUUUCUU